CCAACGUGGAUAUCCGGAGAAGUCGCUCUCUCUCGGCUCUGUCCGUGUGGCGCAUGGGAGCGUAGGCCUCCGGGCCCGUGACGUACAGUCCCGUUCCACGACGUUACGUUGGAGAACAAGCCGGGCCUCGAGUCUGCAGCCUGCAUAUUCCUACUGCUUCUCUGAGCCCUCGGGCCGUGACAGAGGAGACAAACCAUGCAGGAAACAGCU
rnacentral:snoRNA from 1 species